CCUACGGGAGUCAGCAGUGAGGAAUAUUGGUCAAUGGGCGCGAGCCUGAACCAGCCAAGUCGCGUGAGGGAAGACGGCCCUACGGGUUGUAAACCUCUUUUGCCGGGGAGCAACGGGCGCCACGUGUGGCGCCACUGAGAGUACCCGGAGAAAAAGCAUCGGCUAACUCCGUGCCAGCAGCCGCGGUCAUACGGGGGAUGUGGGCGGUAUCCGGAUUUAUUGGGUUUAAGGGGUGCGUAGGCGGAGCGUUAAAUCAGUGGUAAAAUUGAGGGGCUCAACCCCUUCCCGCCAUUGAAACUGGCGCUCUUGAGUGGAAGAGAAGUAUGCGGAAUGCGUGGUGUAGCGGUGAAAUGCAUAGAUAUCACGCAGAACCCCGAUUGCGAAGGCAGCAUGCCGGCUUCCGACUGACGCUGAAGCACGAAAGCGUGGGGAUCGAACAGGAUUAGAUACCCCUGUAGUC
rnacentral:rRNA from 1 species